CACUUGAUAGCACAACGGUUAGUGCGCCUGCCUCACUUGAAAGGGCAUUCAGCUGUGUAAGCAGGAGAUCCCCGUCCGAUGCGGGGUCAGGUCG